UACUUAUUACUCAUUAGACACAUAAAGAAAUGGAUUGUGAAAAACAUGUCAAAGAAAAUGGGAGGCGUACGAUGCAGAUUAAUUUAAAACUCCAGAUUCUUGUGUAGAAGCUGAUGGCAAUACUGUUAACAUAGAAACAUGGACAUCAGGAACAUGAGCAUGGUUGUACGUAUUCAGAACUAGCUUGCUGCUAGAAAACAGAGGGUUGUGGUGGAAGGACAAUAUUCAGGGCUAGAUAUUCUAUGGUCAGUGGAGUUGUGCAGUGAUCUGUAUUAAAACCUCUGCUGUUUGUGAUAUAUAUAAAUGAGUUGGACGUAAAUGUAGAUGGUUUGGUUUGUGAGUUUGCAGAUGAGACCAAGAUUUCUGGGAUGACAAAGUAUACAGUGGGAUUAUAGACCAGCUACAGAAAGGGAUGGAAAUAUUUUGCAAAUGGAGUUUAAUCCGAGCAAGUAUGAGAUUUGCACAAUGGGAGAUCAAAUGUAAUGGAAAAAUAUACAAUUAAUGGCAUGACACUUACCAACAUUGAUGUACAAAGGGAUUUUGAGGUCUAAGUCAAUAAGUCCCUGAAAGUGGCAACGCAAGUAAAUAGAGUGGUUCAAGUUCAACUUCACAUUUAUUGCCACAUGCACCAAUGGGUACAGUGAAAUUUGAGUUACCAUACAGCCAUACGAAUAAAAAUAAUGCAAUACACAAUAGAGUUUAACCUAAACAUCCACCACAGCAGAAUCAAUGUUUCUCACUUUGAUGGAAAGCAAUAAAGUUCAGUCACUUCCUCUUUGUUCACCCAUGGUCGGGGCCUUUGAACCCUCUGCAGUCACCGCUAGGGAUGGCCUGAUGUACUGGACCUCUCGCCGGGAUGAUCAAAACUCCGGUGUUGGAACGGAGGAACACACUCUGCGGCUUAGAGUUUCCAAAUCAGCCGCUUCUUACAGAGACCGCGGCUUCCGAAGUCCACAGACCGAGCUGGGCGAGCUACAACACUGGCGAUCCCCAGCAAGGGAUCGCCUCGCUCCGCGAUGUUAAAGUCAGCGCCGCGCCUGCCGCUAGAACCUCCACAAACCACAGCUCCACAGUAUUAAAGUCAGCAGGCCCAACACUCCAACACUGGCGAUCCCCGGCAAGGAAUCGCCCUGCUCUGUGAUGGUAAUUCAGCUCUGCGCCUGCUACUGAGCUCUGGGCUGGUCUCCGGUAGGAAAGGUCGCGCCAAUCCAGUUGGUAGGCCGCGAGGGGAAGGGGAGGGGGUGAAGAUGCGGCACAGAGAAAAGACGCAUCUCUGUCCAGGUGCUACUUGACCUGCUGUGAGUCUCCGGCAAUUUUAUUACCUUAAAACCCAAAUUGAAGAUCUUCACUCAUAGUACAGGUCUAAGCAUGGCUCCAAAGCCAUUUAUAAAUAUGCUGACAACACCACUAUAGUUGACCCAAUCACUGGUCAGUGUACAGAAGGGAGGUGGUUCACAUGGCUGAAUGGUGCUACAACAACAACUUCUCACUCAACAGCAACAAGUGCAAGGAUUGAUUAUUGAUUUCAGGAAGGUCCGCACGGUGGCCUAACAUCGUGGAGUUGGCGGCCUUUGCUGGAGACCUACAUCGGGAGUUCCAACCUCGCGGGAGCCUGCGGAACUUAACAUCGCAGAACUGGAGAUCCUUUUGCCAGGAAUCGACCUUGGAGCUCCAACCACGGGAGCCUGCGGACUUUAACAUAGUGUAGCUCGUUGUCCCUGGUUGGAGACCGGCUUCGGGAGCUCCAAGCUGCAGGAGCUUCGACCACCCCAACACGGGAGCUUCGACCGCUCUGACGCGGAAGCUACGAUUGCCCCGCCGCGGGAGCUUCGAUCGCCGGCUGCAGGAGCUUCGAUCGUCACGACUGCGGAUGAUUCGACUGCCCCGGCCGUGGGAGAAUAAAGAGGGAAGAAGAUUAGACUUUAUUGCCUUCCAUCACAGUGAGGAAUGUGGGGAAUCCGCUGUGGUGGAUGUUUAUGUUAACUUUUAUGUUGUUGUGUGUCUUGUUGCUUUUUGUAGUAUGGCCGUAUGGUAAAUCGAAUAUCACUGUACCUUAAUUGGUUCAUGUGACAAUAAAAGACCUUUGAACCUUAGAACCAUUGAAAGAAAUGUCAAACUAUUUCUUGUACAAAUUUAUUUUUGCAGGACAAAUCGAUCAGAAAGUCUGCACUGCUUUCUGUA